GCACUGGUGGCAAAGUGGUUAAGCGAUCAGCUGCUAACUGAAACUUCUGUGGUUUGAAUCCAUCAGCUGCU
rnacentral:tRNA from 1 species